GGUUUGAUUCUGGCUCAGAUUGAACGCUGGCGGAAUGCUUUACACAUGCAAGUCGAACGGAUUUGAGGGGCUUGCUCCUCAAGUUAGUGGCGAACGGGUGAGUAAUGCGUCGGAACGUACCGAGUAAUGGGGGAUAACGCAGCGAAAGCUGUGCUAAUACCGCAUACGCCCUACGGGGGAAAGCAGGGGAUCGCAAGACCUUGCGUUAUUCGAGCGGCCGACGUCUGAUUAGCUAGUUGGUGGGGUAAAGGCUCACCAAGGCGACGAUCAGUAGCGGGUCUGAGAGGAUGAUCCGCCACACUGGAACUGAGACACGGUCCAGACUCCUACGGGAGGCAGCAGUGGGGAAUUUUGGACAAUGGGCGCAAGCCUGAUCCAGCCAUUCCGCGUGAGUGAAGAAGGCCUUCGGGUUGUAAAGCUCUUUCGGCAGGAACGAAACGGACAUUUCUAAUAUAAGUGUCUAAUGACGGUACCUGAAGAAGAAGCACCGGCUAACUACGUGCCAGCAGCCGCGGUAAUACGUAGGGUGCGAGCGUUAAUCGGAAUUACUGGGCGUAAAGCGUGCGCAGGCGGUUUUUUAAGCCAGAUGUGAAAUCCCCGGGCUUAACCUG
rnacentral:rRNA from 1 species